AGAGUUUGAUCCUGGCUCAGGAUGAACGCUGGCGGCGUGCCUAACACAUGCAAGUCGAGCGAAGCGAUUUCGAGGAAGUUUUCGGAUGGAAUUGGAAUUGACUGAGCGGCGGACGGGUGAGUAACGCGUGGGUAACCUGCCUCAUACAGGGGGAUAACAGUUAGAAAUGACUGCUAAUACCGCAUAAGCGCACAGGACCGCAUGGUCGAGUGUGAAAAACUCCGGUGGUAUGAGAUGGACCCGCGUCUGAUUAGCUGGUUGGUGGGGUAACGGCCUACCAAGGCGACGAUCAGUAGCCGACCUGAGAGGGUGACCGGCCACAUUGGGACUGAGACACGGCCCAAACUCCUACGGGAGGCAGCAGUGGGGAAUAUUGCACAAUGGGGGAAACCCUGAUGCAGCGACGCCGCGUGAGUGAAGAAGUAUUUCGGUAUGUAAAGCUCUAUCAGCAGGGAAGAAAAUGACGGUACCUGACUAAGAAGCCCCGGCUAACUACGUGCCAGCAGCCGCGGUAAUACGUAGGGGGCAAGCGUUAUCCGCGG
rnacentral:rRNA from 1 species